UACGUAGGGGGCAAGCGUUGUCCGGAAUCAUUGGGCGUAAAGCGCGUGUAGGCGGUUCGAUAAGUCUGCUGUGAAAGUCCAGGGCUCAACCCUGGGAUGCCGGUGGAUACUGUCGAGCUAGAGUACGGAAGAGGCGAGUGGAAUUCCCGGUGUAGCGGUGAAAUGCGCAGAUAUCGGGAGGAACACCGGUGGCGAAGGCGGCAUCCUGGACCGGCAUUGACGCUGAGGCGCGAAAGCCAGGGGAGCAAACGGG
rnacentral:rRNA from 1 species